rnacentral:rRNA from 1 species
CGCAAGUAGUCGAGGAAGGUGGGGAGUGACGUCAAAUCAGCAGGCCCUUACGUCCAGGGCUACACACGUGCUACAAUGGCCGGUACAAAGGGCAGCUACCUGGUGACAGGAUGCUAAUCUACAAAGCCGGUCGUAGUUCGGAUUGGGGUCUGCAACUCGACCCCAUGAAGUCGGAGUCGCUAGUAAUCGCAGAUCAGCAACGCUGCGGUGAAUACGUUCCCGGGCCGUU